rnacentral:rRNA from 1 species
CAGCAGUGGGGAAUCUUCCGCAAUGGACGAAAGUCUGACGGAGCAACGCCGCGUGAGUGAUGACGGCCUUCGGGUUGUAAAGCUCUGUUAAUCGGGACGAAUAGUUCUUGUGCAAAUAGUGCGAGGAUUUGACGGUACCGGAAUAGAAAGCCACGGCUAACUACGUGCCAGCAGCCGCGGUAAUACGUAGGUGGCAAGCGUUGUCCGGAAUUAUUGGGCGUAAAGCGCGCGCAGGCGGAUUGGUCAGUCUGUCUUAAAAGUUCGGGGCUUAACCCCGUGAUGGGAUGGAAACUGCCAAUCUAGAGUAUCGGAGAGGAAAGUGGAAUUCCUAGUGUAGCGGUGAAAUGCGUAGAUAUUAGGAAGAACACCAGUGGCGAAGGCGACUUUCUGGACGAAAACUGACGCUGAGGCGCGAAAGCCAGGGGAGCGAACGGGAUUAGA